CCCAGGUGGGGCUGAGUUGUCCAGCUGUCCCUCAAGAGUGAAGCCUGGGAGCUGUAAGCCCCUGCUUCUCUUUCCUGGAGCCCCAUAACACCGAAGAUCUUGGUGUGGGGAGCAUGGGGUGAUUGGGAAGUUUGAAGAACGGUGGAAAAGAGAACCAGCAUGUUUGGGGCAUGGAAUUUAGUCCUUACUGCCUGUGAGUGAAGAGGCACCGUGAUUAGGUGGCCAAUUAUAAUCUCGGUGCCUAGAGAGACAGUCUGUGACUGAGUCUGCCUGGCUACCAGCUACUCUGACCGGCUUUGCACAACUGGUGUUUGAACAGAGACUGACGUUGAUCUGAUAUUGCCAGGUAACGCAAUAGCAUGGCAGCUUUCAGAAAAUGAUAUUAAAUUACUGUAAAAGCACAUUUUACCCUUUGUGAUAUUCCCUGAGAGUUAGAAACGUAUUC